rnacentral:rRNA from 1 species
CAGUAGCCGCGGUAAAACGUAGGUGGCAAGCGUUGUCCAGAAUUAUUGGGCGUAAAGGGCUCGCAGGCGGUUUCUUAAGUCUGAUGUGAAAGCCCCCGGCUCAACCGGGGAGGGUCAUUGGAAACUGGGAAACUUGAGUGCAGAAGAGGAGAGUGGAAUUCCACGUGUAGCGGUGAAAUGCGUAGAGAUGUGGAGGAACACCAGUGGCGAAGGCGACUCUCUGGUCUGUAACUGACGCUGAGGAGCGAAAGCGUGGGGAGCGAACAGGAUUAGAUACCCCGGUAGUCCCUGUCUCUUAUAC